rnacentral:rRNA from 1 species
GUGGGGAAUCUUCGCAAUGGACGAAAGUCUGACGGAGCGACGCCGCGUGAGUGAAGAAGGCCUUCGGGUCGUAAAGCUCUGUCAUCAGGGACGAACGGCCGGUGGAGUGGAAAGCCACCGGAUUGACGGUACCUGAGAAGGAAGCCACGGCUAACUACGUGCCAGCAGCCGCGGUAAUACGUAGGUGGCAAGCGUUGUCCGGAAUUAUUGGGCGUAAAGCGCGCGCAGGUGGGAUCUUAAGUCCAUUUUGAAAGUUCGGAGCUCAACUCCGUGAUGGGAUGGAAACUGGGAGUCUUGAGUACCGGAGAGGAAAGCGGAAUUCCCCGUGUAGCGGGGAAAUGCGUAGAUAUCGGGAGGAACACCAGUGGCGAAGGCGGCGUCCUGGCACAAUACUGACGCUCAUGUGCGAAAGCUAGGGCAGCGAACGCGAUUAGAAACCCUUGUAGUCC